UCCAGACUCCUACGGGAGGCAGCAGUGAGGAAUAUUGGUCAAUGGCCGCAGGGCUGAACCAGCCAAGUCGCGUGAGGGAUGACGGUCCUAUGGAUUGUAAACCUCUUUUGUCAGGGAGCAAAGGGCGCCACGUGUGGCGCUUUGCGAGUACCUGAAGAAAAAGCAUCGGCUAACUCCGUGCCAGCAGCCGCGGUAAUACGGAGGAUGCGAGCGUUAUCCGGAUUUAUUGGGUUUAAAGGGUGCGUAGGCGGGCAUUUAAGCCGGCGGUCAAAUGUCGGGGCUCAACCCCGGCCUGCCGUCGGAACUGGGUGCCUUGAGUGGGCGAGAAGUAUGCGGAAUGCGUGGUGUAGCGGUGAAAUGCAUAGAUAUCACGCAGAACCCCGAUUGCGAAGGCAGCAUACCGGCGCCCUACUGACGCUGAGGCACGAAAGUGCGGGUAUCGAACAGGAUUAGAUACCCCAGUAC
rnacentral:rRNA from 1 species